AACGCGAAGAACCUUACCUGGGCUCGAAAUGUAGAGGACGGUAUCAGAGAUGAUGCUUCUCGAAAGGGUCUUUACAUAGGUGCUGCAUGGCUGUCGUCAGCUCGUGCCGUGAGGUGUUUGGUUAAGUCCAGCAACGAGCGCAACCCUUAUCGUUAGUUGCCAACGCGUAAUGGCGGGAACUCUAACGAGACUGCCUGGGUUAACCAGGAGGAAGGUGAGGAUGACGUCAAGUCCGCAUGGCCUUUAUGUCCAGGGCUACACACGUGCUACAAUGGUCGGUACAGAAGGCAGCGAAACCGUAAGGUGGAGCAAAUCCUACAAAACCGAUCUCAGUUCAGAUUGUGGACUGCAACUCGUCCACAUGAAGUUGGAAUUGCUAGUAAUGGCGUGUCAGCAACAACGCCGUGAAUACGUUCCCGGGCCUUGUACACACCGCGAGC
rnacentral:rRNA from 1 species